CCUACGGGGGGCUGCAGUGGGGAAUCUUGGGCAAUGCGCGAAAGCGUGACCCAGCAAUGCCGCGUGUGUGAUGAAGGUCUUCGGAUUGUAAAACACUGUCUCCCGUGACGAUAAUGACGGUAGCGGGGAAGGAAGCCACGGCUAACUACGUGCCAGCAGCCGCGGUAAUACGUAGGUGGCGAGCGUUGUUCGGAUUUAUUGGGCGUAAAGGGUCUGUAGGAGGUUUGUUAAAUUCGGGGUGAAAUCCCAAAGCUCAACUUUGGAACUGCCUUGGAGACUGAUGAACUAGAGUACUGGAGAGGUAAGCGGAAUACCAGGUGUAGCGGUGGAAUGCGUAGAUAUCUGGUAGAACACCAAGAGCGAAGGCAGCUUACUGGACAGUUACUGACUCUGAGAGACGAAAGCGUGGGGAGCAAACAGGAUUAGAUACCCCGGUAGUC
rnacentral:rRNA from 1 species